GGGGGUAUAGCUCAGGGGUAGAGCGCUCGCUAGCGCGAGAGGGCUGGGGUUCGAUUCCCCAUACCUCCA
rnacentral:tRNA from 1 species